rnacentral:rRNA from 1 species
GAUGAACGCUAGCGGCAGGCCUAAUACAUGCAAGUCGAGGGGUAACAUGGGGUAGCAAUACUUUGAUGACGACCGGCGCACGGGUGCGUAACACGUAUGUAAUCUACCCUUAUCAGGGGGAUAGCCCGGAGAAAUCCGGAUUAACCCCCCAUAAUACUGUUGGUUGGCAUCGGCCGGCAGUUAAAAUUCCGAUGGAUAAGGAUGAGCAUGCGACUGAUUAGCUAGUUGGCGGGGUAAAGGCCCACCAAGGCGACGAUCAGUAGGGGUACUGAGAGGU